AGAAUCAACGCUGGCGGCGUGCCUAACACAUGCAAGUCGAACGAGAAAGUGGAGCAAUCCAUUAGUAAAGUGGCGCACGGGUGAGUAACACGUGACUAACCUACCUUUUAGUGGGGGAUAACCUAGGGAAACCUGGGCUAAUACCGCAUAAUACCCACGGGUCAAAGCAGCAAUGCGCUGAAAGAGGGGGUCGCGGUCGAUUAGUUAGUUGGCAGGGUAAUGGCCUACCAAGACUGUGAUCGAUA
rnacentral:rRNA from 1 species